AACUCUCAAGUUCUGGUUUACUUAAUUCUAACUUCGUUCUUUCCAUUUUUCUCUACUUUUGAAUAUCUCUUGGAUUAUAUCCUGAGUAAUGCAUUCUCCAUCUAUAAUGAUGUCUUAGAGCCUUUCUGUAUUUCCAAAAGAACAGUUUGAAUCUCAUAUUCUUUAUUUCAAGAUAUUCAAAUACCUUUUAGAAAACCUCAAGUUUUCCAUGCACCUCAUAAUCUUUCUCAAUAACUUGGUU
rnacentral:lncRNA from 1 species